AUGGCGGGAACUCAAAGGAGACUGCCGGUGAUAAACCGGAGGAAGGUGGGGAUGACGUCAAGUCAUCAUGGCCCUUACGAGUAGGGCUACACACGUGCUACAAUGGCGUAUACAAAGGGAAGCGACCCCGCGAGGGCAAGCGGAACUCAUAAAGUACGUCGUAGUCCGGAUUGGAGUCUGCAACUCGACUCCAUGAAGUCGGAAUCGCUAGUAAUCGUAGAUCAGAAUGCUACGGUGAAUACGUUCCCGGGCCUUGUACACACCGCCCGUCACACCAUGGGAGUGGGUUGCAAAAGAAGUAGGUAGCUUAACCUCCGGGAGGGCGCUUACCACUUUGUGAUUCAUGACUGGGGUGAAGUCGUAACAAGGUAACCGUAGGGGAACCUGCGGUUGGAUCACCUCCUUACCU
rnacentral:rRNA from 1 species